UGAGAUAUAACUCAGUUGGUAGAGUGUUUGCCUGCUGUGUAUAAGGCCUGGUUUCAAUCCCCAGCACCACAA
rnacentral:tRNA from 1 species